rnacentral:rRNA from 1 species
AGAGUUUGAUCCUGGCUCAGGAUGAACGCUAGCUACAGGCUUAACACAUGCAAGUCGAGGGGCAGCAUGUUGGUUGCUUGCAACCAACGAUGGCGACCGGCGCACGGGUGAGUAACGCGUAUCCAACCUACCCUUGUCCAUCGGAUAACCCGUCGAAAGGCGGCCUAACACGAUAUGCGGUUCACAGCAGGCAUCUAACGUGAACGAAAUGUAAAGGAGAAGGAUGGGGAUGCGUCUGAUUAGCUUGUUGGCGGGGUAACGGCCACCAAGGCGACGAUCAGUAGGGGUUCUGAGAGGAAGGUCCCCCCANAUUGGAACUGAGACACGGUCCAAACUCCUACGGGAGGCA